rnacentral:lncRNA from 1 species
GCUCACUCACCUUCUAGAAACAACAUUUUGCCUCUUGAGCUGUAACUGGAGACAUGGAGAUGUCCCAGCCUGGGACCUGCGCUGCAGUUUUCAGUAUAAACAGCUGAAUGUCCAUGAUGGUGAUGUUGGAAAAGCUCUGGCUCCUGCUUUUGAAGGAUAGCGGGUUGGUUUCCUGUGAGCUAGAAGAAAGCAAUACAUUCCUCUUUCAUAGUCUUUUAGACAUAUCUGGGCAAUUAAAAAUACUCUUCAACAGAGUUUUUCUUCUGUUUUGUAGGCAGCGCAGUGUAUAUAUGAUUAGGAAGAAAGCUGAACUUAGGAGAGUUUGAGUCUGAAUUAUUCACGUGUAAAUAUACUUAGUGAUACUAAUGAGCAAAACUUAUAACAACACAUAGGAAGAAUAUUUUGGAAAAUUAUUUUAGAAAAUUAUUUAGAAAAUUAUUUUUGAAAUGUGACAUUCUAAGCUGCCUCACUCAACUCCUUUUGUCUAACUGAGAAGAAUGGUUCAUUGUCAUACAUAGCCAUCAUACAGCACGAAUGACUGUGUGAAAGGCCUCAGUGAUAACUGGAGAGAAUAGUGGCUGGAACUACUUGAGUUUCAGGGACUUAGAUAUGUAACGACUGAAGCAGAAACUGGAGCUGUGAACACAUUUAGGAGAACAGGCAUUUGUGACCAGAAAUACAAGGUAUAUCACUGGGCAACUGGGGGUUACAUAGUUGUGCAAAAAUAACAAUACAUACUGAAAACAAAUGGUAAUGAUUCAAAAUCUUACACUUCUUACAUGUGGAACAUUUCUCUUCAGUGCAGAAAGCUUAAAAACUCAUUCACUUUAAAGGUUUGAAAGUGUGGGUUACAUACAAAACGUUUACUUCACAGCUCUCCCUCCCCACUAGUUUUCCUACUUCUUCCUCAUUAUCUACAUGUUAUUUAAGUGCUUAUUCUCAGGCUUGGUACAUCUAAAAGGGUGAAGGUAAUUUGAGUUGCAGUCUAUGCUCAGGAAAGUAUAAAAUAUGGUAUAUUAAAACAUUGAAUUGUAAGAUGAGAAUGGAAAGUUUGAGGGUUUUUAUGGAGGGGAGGGGUGAGGCACAGAAGGACCUUCUCACUUCUAAGUAAAUCAGCUAAAAAGAGGGAAAAAAACACUAAAUACAAGCUAACAUUAAAAGUAGCAUAGUAAAAAAGUAUUCCUCUCUGAGACCUGGAUAUAAUUCACAGUAUUUUCUAAAAAAACAAAUAUGAGAAAUUUUACAAGACACUCGCAAGAACAUCUGAGAUACUUCUCAGAAGUAGUUCAGUGUCUCUAAAAUAGGGUGUCAAGAUUCAUUCUCUCU